GAUACCAACCAGCUCAGAGAAGAUGUUUUACAUGGCCGCAUUUAUAGUGACCUUCUGCAGAAUUAUUAGCAUAAUGACUGGAAAUGCAAGCAACUUUACUGAUGAAUGCUUAUAGCAUUAAAGGCUAUCUGCCAAGCAUCUACUGGCGACCCAUCUGGCUCCCAGGCUCAGUAUCCCAGUUGGCCAAGCAAAAUCACAAGCAAGAACCAGGGCCCGAGUGGGAAGAGGCUACAUGAGAAUAUGGAUAUUGGGAAGGGAAGUUAGCAGAAAAAGAAACAAAUGGCUCAUGCUUCAACCAUCGCUCUUCACGUCCACAGCAAUACCACUCCCCAAAGCAUGGUUUAGCAGUGACACAUGCCUGUGAACAUGGGAUACAGGCUUUUUCCAAGUAUGAUUUAGCUGAAGAACUCUGGUCCUCAGUGGGUCCUUGGAAAAUGGAAGAUCCAUCUUGACUCCCCCUUGAUCAUACAGACGGUGAAUAUAGAAUGUGGAACAUCAUGGGAGACUCUUGAUGCUUCCUAUUUCCCUGCUAAAGCAAGUCUCAUGGUCAAAACUCUGAAGAUGGAGAAAACAGUCCAAACCUGUUACGCCUUCAAGGGGAAGUGAGUUGGGGUUCAGGGGGUUGGGAUCCAUGAUGACGGAACAAGGGGAUGACAGCAAGAACAAAGCGCUGGAAGUUUACAUCCUGACCCACAGGUAGGAGGAAGAGGAAGAACAACGGGCCUGGUAAGAGUCUUUGGAAACCUCAAGCUCCGCCUCCAGAUACACGCCUCCUCAUUGGAAACCUCAAGCUCUGCCUCCAGAUACACGCCUUCUCAUUGGAAACCUCAAGCUCCGCCUCCAGAUACACGCCUCCUCAUUGGAAACCUCAAGCUCCGCCUCCAGAUACACGCCUCCUCAUUGGAAAC